UGAAAUUCCACAUCCUCGGGCUGACACCGAUUCUAAAUGAUCAAAGGCAGAAGAUUUAUACCAGAUAAAGCCAUAUGGAUUGCUGGUCUAAAAUUCAAGGCAGGUUAGUUGACUUAAUUCUUUGGUGCUGGUGACUGUUAGUUUGUAAAAGUUCAAUAAGUCAGAUGAAGGAAGGGAUGGUGCCGGGAGCUGUCAAGCUGUACUGGUGGGGUCUGUAAUUAGAGCUAACUGGAGGGAUCAUGAUGUCUACUGUCCAGUUUGGUGUUGAGCCAUGGCUCUCGGUAGAAGUUGCCGGCUGGGGCCUGGUCAGGACUGGAAGGAGAGUGGUGGGAUGUGCUGUGCCUAUGGUGGGCUAGCUGCAGCCAGUGGGGUGCCUGCCCCACACUGCUGCCCACCCCUUCAUCAGCUGAUUCUGCUCCCACAUAAAGAAAGGUGUUGGCUUAGUGUCACUUCUUCCUAGAGCCAUGGGAGUUUUCUGUCAGCAUGUUUUUGAGCUGUCCUGGUAACUUGGACGGGAAGCAGUCUGGAGGUGGGUGCCUUCCAAAUCUCUGCCACAGAAUCUGAACUUGCACUUUGCAGCCUGUUAGUCAGAGCUGCUAAGUUUGCUCUACCUGGUGUGCCUCUUGGCACCACCUGAGAGAUGUAUGUAGAGAGGCUGCUAAGAAAUGAGUGCCCCUGGCAUGAAGACGUCAUAUCCCAGAUGUUUAACUUCUGGCUGGAGGGAGGGAACUUAAUUUGGUUCAUUAUCUACUGGGUACCUUUCCUGUGCGGAGGGGAGGACCAGUGACUUUCCAUAAUAAGCUUUCUCCUUUAAAAAAACUUCAGACUCUUACUUACUCUUUUGGUUCACACUAAUUAGCAUUCAUUUUCCAGAGAAAGCUGCUUGACUUUGAGGAAAUAAAGACAGGUGUCCUUAAAAAUGGACUGCAAAUCUGGAUCAGUGUCAGGUCUGCUUUAGGGUCCAUGAAAUCACCCAAGAGUGUUGGUACUAAAAGUGGUGUAGGCUGGGCGCGGUGGCUCGCGCCUGUAAUCCCAGCACUUUGGGAGGCCAAGGCGGGUGGAUCACCUGAGGUCAGACAUUCGAGACCAGCCUGGCCAACAUGGUGAAACCCUGUCUCUACUAAAAAUACAAAAUUAGCCAGGCAUGGUGGCUGGUGCUUGUAAUCCCAGCUACUUGAGAGGUCGAGGCAGAAUCGCUUGAACCAGGAAGGUGGAGGUUGCAGUGAGCCAAGAUUGCACCACUGCACUCCAGCCCGGUUGACAAGAGAAACUCCAUCUCAAAAAAAAAAAAAAGAAAAGUGCAUAGGGGUUUGUUCCCCCACCCUCUGAAAGACCCCAAGGAAAUUCUAGAAGCAAAAAUUUGACCUCUUGGAGCACAGAGACUAAGUAUAAGUGGAAGAAGCAGACCUAACCCUCCUCCCAGGCAGUCAGUCCUAUGAGUUUUAGGCUGAGGUUUCAUUUUAGCCUCUGAUCGAUGUAUCUGUAAAGCUGAUCUAAACUCCCAGUUUCCUAGAAGCCACUGCUGUGAGCCUGGGGGUUGUACUGAAUGGCUCUGCUGGCACCCAAGAGCAGCUGACUCCACUGUCACUGCCCCCGUUUCUGAGCCUCCAGACAGGUUCUGGGAGGAGCCAGCCCCCUAUGAAUUGUAUCACUUGUAUAGAUAGAGAUUUGACUUCAGGACCUCCCUGGAUGGUGGAGAUUGUGUGUGCCCAUGUGUGCAAGGAGAUAGAUAGAUUCUCAAUCCAGUGAAGCAGUAGCCAGCUAGAACAGAACACUGAUUGUGGGCUAUUAAAGGAGUUUCUCAUUAGUUAUGGCACCAGAUUCCCAGCUUCCAUUUUGGCUCAAAAAAGGAGCCUAAAACCCACUUGUGGGAUAAUUUAAUAAGCCAUUAGAUGCUUGGAGGGCACCAAGCCAGCCUUGUUGCUGAAGGAUUUACUAGAAAGGGCCUAGGAGUCCUUCUUCCCUUUUUGCUUGCUCUUCCCCUAGCCCCAGUUAAUUUAACUAUCACUGUAAAGCUGCUGUAAACCAGAAUCCAGUUUUUUAUUCGUAAGGCACCAGGAUAGAACUGUUCUUGCCACCCUCCUAUUUCAGUAAUUGCCUGAAUUUCCCUGAAAGGGUGACAUACUUCACUUCUUGACAUUUAGGAAGGACAGUGGCCACUCAGUGGCAGGUGACUGUCCCGAGGAUGCAGUAGACAAGCCAGCAUGCUGGCUCAGACUGUAAAUUAGGUAGGGUUUGCAUAGCUGUUUCUGACUACAAAAAUAGCAUGGGUGUUAGUUGAAACAGUGCACUGAAAUAAGCAGUGGUUAAGUUUUGAACCUGAAUCCUUUAAAGAAAUUAGUCUGAGGUAAAAUGUUUUAAAUCAUUUUUGACCUUCAGCUUGUGCCUCUGACAGAGCUUUUGUCCUAAAGCUGAGAGUAGAAGCAGGAUUAGAUGUGGUCAUCUGUGGUGUGGACACAGCAGACCUGCCAUGUGGACUGACGGUAGAUGGGAGAACCGCUUGUUAGUGUUCUGGGCUUCCUGAUGAUCCCCCCCUCCUCCCCGUAGAAAGUCUGUCAUCCGCUGUGACAGUGUCAGUGAAAAAGAGAACAAGUUUCCACUGCCAGCUCUGGCCCUCACCCCAACUCCUUUCUCUAAGAGUAACGGGGACUGGGCAUAGGGACCCCGGGCAGGAGCUAGCGGCAUCCUCUAACAAGAACUACAUCUGUAAACAAUAAGGAGAAAGCCAGGUGGAUAGAUGAAACCUACAGGAGGGCCCUUCAACAGGCCUAAUAGAAGGGUCACUUCCAAACUGGCACGAGCAGUUAACAGUGUCCCUUAAAUCUUUCUCUGGAAGGAAGGAAAGAUCAAUUACAUUCACAAGUUCACACUUCUGCCUGUGCUCCUCAAGGGCAGCUGUUGAGGCCUGGAAUUCCUCACUGGUCAGAGAGGUGUGUACUGAUUGUCUAUGGCCCGCAGGUGGCUCCGGGAGGAUGAGUCCAUUUCGUAGUCCGAGUCCCGGGCUCGAUUCACAGGCUCAUGCUCCAGGUGCUGCAGGCUGUUGGCCAGUUCUUCGGGCGAAGGCACCAGGUGGAAGAUCUGCUCGGGGGGUGAGGAUCGCCCUGGGAGACCCUCUGGGCUGAGCCCCCGGGGACAGCCAGAAGAACUAAGGUGGGGAAGGCCCAACUCUGAACCCCAGUGAGGAAGGGACUCUGAAUCCCAGUGAGGAAGGGAGAAAGGGAAGAGGACCGUGUUGCAGGAACCUAGGACAAGUGACCAAGAGAGACCACACCAUCAGUCUUGAGGCAAGUGCUGACAGGACACAGAACAAGAUACCUGUACCCCUGGGUCUGCAGCAAGCCUCUACCCUCUACCCAGUGUCAGCCACCCCCUUCAGCAAAGGGCAGUAGGGUCAGACCUGGUGGUUGGGAGACGACUACCACGUAGCUGGAGAGCCGGACAUCACAGGCGGCGCCGCACUCGAGUGGGAUGGGCGAGCGCUGGAAGUGGUGGAGCAUGUCCACGACCGAGGGAAAGUGGAGGUGCUGCACACGGCACUGGCCCCGCUCUGUCAGCGACAGGCGC
rnacentral:lncRNA from 1 species